rnacentral:rRNA from 1 species
UGAGAAACGGCUACCACAUCUAAGGAAGGCAGCAGGCGCGCAAAUAACCCAAUCCUGACACAGGGAGGUAGUGACAAGAAAUAACAAUACAGGACCUAACGCUCUUGUAAUUGGAAUGAGUUAAGUAUAAACCCCUUUACAAGUAGCAAUUGGAGGGCAAGUCUGGUGCCAGCAGCCGCGGUAAUUCCAGCUCCAAUAGCGUAUAUUAAAGUUGUUGCAGUUAAAAAGCUCGUAGUUGGAU